rnacentral:rRNA from 1 species
GGUACGGGGGGCAAGCGUUGUUCGGAAUUACUGGGCGUAAAGGGCUCAUAGGCGGCCAACUAAGUCGGACGUGAAAUCCCUCGGCUCAACCGGGGAACUGCGUCCGAUACUGGAUGGCUUGAGUUCGGGAGAGGGAUGCGGAAUUCCAGGUGUAGCGGUGAAAUGCGUAGAUAUCUGGAGGAACACCGGUGGCGAAGGCGGCAUCCUGGACCGACACUGACGCUGAGGAGCGAAAGCCAGGGGAGCAAACGGG